rnacentral:rRNA from 1 species
CGAAGGAUGCAAGCGUUAUCCGGAUUCAUUGGGUUUAAAGGGAGCGUAGGUGGCCUUAUAAGUCAGUGGUGAAAUCUCUCGGCUUAACCGAGAAAUUGCCAUUGAUACUGUAGGGCUUGAGUAUAGUUGCCGUUGGCGGAAUAUGACAUGUAGUGGUGAAAUACAUAGAGAUGUCAUAGAACACCGAUUGCGAAGGCAGCUGACGAAACUAUAACUGACACUGGGGCUCGAAAGUGCGGGGAUCAAACAGGAUUAGAUACCCUGGUAGUCCGCACUGUAAACGAUGAUUACUCGCUGCUAGAGGGCAACUUUUAGUGGCUUAGCGAAAGCGAUAAGUAAUCCACCUGGGGAGUACGCCGGCAACGGUG